CGCUUCAACUUGAAUUAGCAGUGUCGUUCAAAAUGCGAAUCGUAUAUGUGUGUUUUGUGUGAUACUGUUAUGAAGUAUACGUAAAGUGCCUGUCGAGAAAAUUUGGAGAGCAAAUGUUCUUUAGUUUUUCUGUACAAUUCCAGGAUUUUAUCUUGGAUUUUGAGGAGAGAUGGGAGGGGACUGGACCAUGGCACUGUAAGUCCGGCCUCCUGUGGUGGGCUCGCAGCCAGGAUUGCCUUGCAAGACAGACCAAUAGCCAGAUGCCAGUUCUGAUGAGGAUAGUGACAUUCAUGAAUGGGUCAGGCAGAGGGUCACUGAAAUAGAGGCGGAAAGGCAUCUCGAUCUGGCUCUGUUUAAUGAUGGUGGUGAUCACUUAUUUGAGGGUGUAGGGGAGUUGCCCAGUGAAAUGUUCAUGCCUUGGAGCCAGAGCAAAAAAGUGGUCAUGUCUCCACAGCCCUGACACAGCGUGGUACACGUGGU